rnacentral:rRNA from 1 species
CGCUGGCGGCGUGCCUAACACAUGCAAGUCAACUUGACUGAAGGAGCAAUCUGACAGUAGAGUGGCGCAAGGGUGCGUAACGCGUAAGUAACUUGCCCAAGGUAAGGAAUAACGUCGAGAAAUCGGCGCUAAUACCUCAUAAUGCAGCGGAUCCGCAUGGAUAUGUUGUUAAAGGUUUACCGCCUUGGGAUAGGCUUGCGUCUGAUUAGCUAGUUGGUGUGGUAACGGCACACCAAGGCUACGAUCAGUAACUGGUCUGAGAGGAUGAUCAGUCACACGGGAACUGAGACACGGUCCAGACUCCUACGGGAGGCAGCAGUGAGGAAUAUUGGGCAAUGCUCGAAAGAGUGACCCAGCAACGCCGCGUGGAGGAUGAAGGUAUUCUAUAUCGUAAACUCCUGUGAGAGCAGACGAAAGACAGAUUAUUAAUCUGGAUGACUGUAUGCUCAGAGGAAGCCCCGGCUAACUACGUG